GAUGAACGCUGGCGGCGUGCUUAACACAUGCAAGUCGAACGAAGCACUUUAUUUGAUUACCUUCGGGACUGAUUAUUUUGUGACUGAGUGGCGGACGGGUGAGUAACGCGUGGGUAACCUGCCUUGUACAGGGGGAUAACAGUUGGAAACGGCUGCUAAUACCGCAUAAGCGCACAGCAUCGCAUGAUGCAGUGUGAAAAACUCCGGUGGUGUAAGAUGGACCCGCGUUGGAUUAGCUAGUUGGUGAGGUAACGGCCCACCAAGGCGACGAUCCAUAGCCGACCUGAGAGGGUGACCGGCCACAUUGGGACUGAGACACGGCCCAAACUCCUACGGGAGGCAGCAGUGGGGAAUAUUGCACAAUGGGCGAAAGCCUGAUGCAGCGACGCCGCGUGAGCGAAGAAGUAUUUCGGUAUGUAAAGCUCUAUCAGCAGGGAAGAUAAUGACGGUACCUGACUAAGAAGCACCGGCUAAAUACGUG
rnacentral:rRNA from 1 species